rnacentral:lncRNA from 1 species
GGAGAAGACAGGAGCUUUGCGCUUAGAGAAGUCCCUUGGCCGGACAGAGCGCAUCUUCUUUUGCUCAUUUUUCAGGGCCUUGCCUUGUUGGCCUACCAAAUAAACAGGCUUUUUUUGAUUGAUUCGCUUACGGGUCAUUAACUAAAGACCUUGAAGUCGUGACCCAUGAGCUAGCUGAGGAAAGCGAUAUCGCGCGUAGACAUCAAGCCGUAGCGCGCGAACCAGCAACCCCUCUUUAUGAUGCUUUCCACUCUUUCGAGAGGAUUCAGUUAUUGAGUCGGUGAGCUGAUCUCGCCUUUUAUCUGGACAUUGUGAGUUCUCCCGAUCAUGACGACGAAGCGAGUGAAGGGUAGCACUGAACUGGCAAAGAGAAUGAAUGAGAUUAUGGGGCUCCGGUUCCAUCGAUUUUGACUUCAUUUUACUUAAUAGAAAGAGGUUGCAAAAAAGGAAGAGAAUGGAUCCACUCAAAAAACUUUGUUCGGAAUCUAACUCAGAGAGGCAGUGUUGAGUCCAUGCAGACUCUAAAUUCGUCUAGCGCUUCAAACCAUAUUGGAUUACUAGAUAAAGAGCGAGUGAUCACCCAUGAGGAAAUGGGCAUUGUCUAAAUCCCUGUUUUAAGAAGUUGAAAGAACGUUUUCGCCGUAUCCUUUACAAGCUUUUACACGAAGCAAUGAAUGAGUUGCUCGACGGCAUUCAUCUGUCUUUUCAGUAAAGCGAGUCUUUCAAGUAAGCCCGCCUAACAUGAAAGUCAAGCCUUUCACUUCAUUGUUCAAGUCCUGCCUUCAGAGAAAAGGGUACAGGUCGGUUUGUUGUUUCGAAAGAUUCUCGCACACGAUUCAGUCUGCCUCUGUCAAAUAAAUAAAGUGGAUGGAGAGCCUUCUUAUCCUUUUAGGUCCGACCUCUCUCUUCCACUUUCCACCCCCCUAAGCUUUACUAAAAGGAGGGUCAUCAACACCGUCAGAACCUCGCAUUUGCGGCUAAGUGUCCCUCCGCGGUAAGGAAUUGAUUUUCUUUCUUUCCCUGCAGUGCUAUAGUGCGCUUGGACUCUAUCUCCGCUGUCUGGCUUUCAUGAAGAAAGAUUGAAAGCGUCCUCUUCGAGCGACUGCGUACCUCAUGUCAAAGAUGUUCGUGUACUUUAGAAUUCGAAAUAGGACUGUUAGCGCUGGUCUCUAGCCACCUAGAACUACCAGAGACUCGAUCCACCUCAGGAACAUUCAAAAGACUAAAGCCACCUGAAACUCACUGAUUGUCUCAUGCCACCUCGGAAGAGAAGACAUAUUCUCAGACAGAAAAGAAAGGACUUACCACUUGGCCACACUCAGAAGCCGGAGUCUGAGCUAGUAGCUAGCCUCAGGUAUAGAACUGGAGUUCUCUAUCAGGGAAUUCCAGGAGUGAAAUAGUAUGGUUUGAUAGAACCAGGUAGUAGUUGGUCGGAAAGGAAGAGAAAGAUACUCCAACGGACUCGGGCAAUCCCUUUACGAAUCAAAGGGAUUGGGCUGAUUGACCCCAGGUUCCGGGACGAUAAUCAGGUAAACAGUUGAAGUACCAAAGAGCGGUCCCAAGGGACGGAAUCAAGGAAGCAAACUAAGAGCCAAAGCUCUUAGCCUCCUAAUAUGAGGAUUCGUCUCACUAAAUGAGUUGAACUGAGUUCAACGAAUCCUCAGAUUCCUUAUAUGUUCAACUCAUUUCGAGUGACAAAUGUUCCUCAGAUUCCUCAUCUCUUGGGCUUUCUCCGGUUGACGUUGAAGCCAAAGAAACGGGGGGGAAGGGCACAAAACGUAGUUACCACACCCAUUCCCAUUCCAUUAUUGAUUCGAAUAGCUAAGCGAAGGCUUAAUUGAAUGGACGAGUAAGGGAAUACGAGCUCCUUCAUCUCCUUAUAUACGUCGCCAUGUUCGUUGACGGCCGAAUAAGAAGGGGGCCAAACAGCCACUUGACGGAAGUUUUAGGGGUGAGAGCAGACCCCGAAUAGGGUGAAGGGGAUGCCUCAUUGGCAGCCGAGAGCAGCCUAUUCUGUCUGUAGCAGCUUCUUCUUUCAAAGGCAAAGGCCUUUAUAGACUCGUACAAAGAAGAAAAUAAGUUCCAUGACAUGGCACUUGCGAGGGAGUUUAGUUCAUAACCUCGUAGGCCGGGAAUGCCAUCAAGAACCCUUUUCCUCUCGGUCUCAGUGUCAGCCAAGUUAGCAUCGGCUCCAUCAUUUGAAGCUUAUGACAUUGAUGAGUGAUCCAACAGUCUUGAGUGGCAGUUCUCCAAGGAGAAGGGAUCCCAGGUAGGAGAGCCAGCCGGGCCAGGGGAAAGAGGUAGUCAAAGACUACCCGGGAGUAGGUUCUGGAAUUUAUUCAGAGUUGCCACUCCUCAAUCUUCGAAAUUCCAGCGAUAGAGGACUUGAUACUUAUCUUCGACAAGCCUUGAUCUGUGCUGAAGACAGAUUCUCUUAUCGGCUGAGGAAAUAGGUAGCCACCCAUUCUUCCUUUCCGACCUUAGCUUAGCUGCUCACGCCAAUGCUCAUGGGUAUGGGGCAAUAACUGCUGCUACUGUUAUACUCCCACACUAUAAGAGACGGCUCAUCUUCUAUCUAAGACCUCCUCAAUGAGAGGAUGCCUGAAUGCUACUUUCGUCUACGUAUGGCUUAUAUUAUAUAAGCAAUCCUCCUUCUAUGGUCUUAGGCCCAGUUUCUUUCAACUAAGAUUUAUACUAAGCUUCCUCCCCCUGAAGCCUGAGUCAAAGAAUCCGUCGAUUCCAAUUCCACUAUAGGAAGUGCUGUUAUGAUCGAUUUUCCUUCUCCUCUUCAUUAAUAGCCUGGGAACUUAGAUUCUGAAUUAGAGUAUGGCAGGUCCGUCUUUGACCUUUGACCUUUGACCGGUUCGGGUUCGGGACUCGUUCUAUGACCGUACUCCUAUGUUUUGGGAGUCUGAGAAAGCUCUUCGUCCGCAUUCGCCAAGCCUAACAAGCCUUGGAAGUCGGCUAAGGCGCAAUGCUCCCUAUUUUCCGUGCUAGCUUUUGGGUCUGCUAGCGCUUCGAUGCUUUCGAUUCUUCUUUCCUAGGCUAUUUCGUACGUGUAAGCUUUCGAAGUCGUAUAUCGAAUGAGUGGAUAUUCCCACAUCCUCCCUUCAUGCUAAGACCACUUUGUGUACUGCGUCUUCUAUCGCUAUCUACGGUGAUUCUCCCGUCUAACCGGAGUGAGGACUCAGCAUGAAUAGCCGGACGCGAGAGAAAGACAAAAACAAGGCUUCUCGCGGCCCUAUCGAAUCCGUUCCCGAGUGAAGGUCACUUCACAAGUUGCCUUCUCUGGUCUUGCGGCGCACUCACUCCCUUUCCUUCCGCUCACUUCUGGACCCUUCGCUCCCGGUUAGUGCUCUUUGGCCCGGUCUAUUCUGUCUGAUAUGAUAUCAUAUAGCCAGGAAAAAGGGAUCUACUAGUCAUCGCCUUUGAGCUGGUAUUACCUGGAGUCGGCUAUUCCUGAUUCAGCAAAGGAAAGAAACCUUGAUCCCAAGACUAGCACUGACUCUAUUAUGAGACCUCCCUCUGUCGCAAUAGAAAUCGAGAAUGGAGGUGACUUCGCUACACUUGUUUAUAGUUGGAAAUUCCAACUCGAAGGCCCUAGUACUACUGACUUUGCACCAGAAACAAUUGAAGCCUUUUUUCGGCAUCCCUUCUCAGACGUCUUAUUCCUUGCCUUAGUAAUGUGCAAUCAGCUACUUGGCACCUUCCCUUAUUCUCCCUCCUUUCCCUUCCUUGCAAAGGUCUUAUAAGGCGAUGACCCUACUUACACGAUAUGAGAAUGGUUCGACACUUUCAACCCCAUAACCCACUUCCAAGACUUUAGGACUAACUGGAUUUCUUUCGACUUAGUUCUCUGUUCGUCUCGGGUACUCGCUCUGCUAAUUGGUAUGAUAACCAGUAAAGGGAAGGUACAUAGUCAUCUUUUCCAGAGCACCCUAAACCGUAACAGCAAGACCAACGGAUAUGACCAAAAAUUCCUUGUCACGAGCUUGGCUUUGGGGACAGUUUCACCGACCUAAGAACCAUUUCCUUUAGCAGCGGCGGAGGAUAUUAUAUAAAAGCAAAGAAGAGAGCGAAGCUCCUCUCCAACCAGUCAAGUGGCCCAAGGGCCACCUUUCCUGGAUUAGAAAGAAAGCUACUAACAGUACCGUGCAAUAUCUGGCCUAGUGCAAACCAUGGCAUACAUCAAACUACCAACUGCAUAAGAAUAAGGAACAAGAGACAUUUCCUUCUUCUCUUCAUCAGUUGAUGGACUUGACUUUUUCUUUAGCCUCUCGGCUUCGAGAAGCCGUGGGCCCAGUAGUGCUUUCUUAAAGCCUGUAACCCGCUCGACGUAAGAACCGAUCUCAAGCUGGAUGAGAAGGGAAAUAAAGACUAGUGAGAAUAGCCGUAAUUCAACUAGGCCUUGAAUCAGUGGUUUACAGAGACAAUUAGUCAUCUGCUUACGGCUAAUCUGCUCUUCGAAUCGUCAUCUUAGAAUAGGUUGGAACUAUUUCAAGAUGAUAGGCUUAUUCUGAAAGUACGCAUUUCUUGCUCUAAGUCCGCUGGGUUGGAUCGAACUAGUAGGUUUGGCAGGAAGAUAAUGGCAUAAAAGAAGCAUUCCACUUUUGGAAAGAGAAGAGUCAGUCUGAUUAUAGAUCCCUCUGUCUUGCAUUGGGUUAACUGGAGCUUAGAUAAAGCGAUAGGCAGAAGAGAGAGAAUUAGUCCGUCUUUAUAGACUGACUUUCCUCGCAUCAAAGCUUUCCGGUUCUCUUCCUUUAUGAAGAAAGGAAAGGCUUGUUAUCGACGAAGAAGAUCUUUAUACUGUUCAUCCUAAGAAAAGAAGUUUUCACUCGGUACAACUAUUCUAUGCUAGCAUAGCAUGCUUCUACUUAUGUUGUGUUGCAAAUUCCGGAUCAGGAACAAUCCUUUCUUAUUCGUUGAUGCCAGUCUAAAAAUCCGUACUUGUUGACUAAAUUUCGGCUUUCUAGCUUGAAGCUUAAGGGCUAAGGGAAAUUCAUCCUUGGAUCAAUGAAAUAGUUGAAUUAGCGUUGAUGCAAGAAGCAACCUCUUAUUGAAAUGACUUUAGGAAGUGCCUAACCUUUCUCCUUCGAUCCGAUCCUUUCUGUGACCCGAAAUGAACUUAUUGUCUCUUCGUCUCUUGCCUUUGAAUCGGAUAUUCCGAUGAAAGCGGAUUCUCUUUCCGUCCCUCGUCAUCGAGAGGAAGAAUCGCUAUCUAUCUAUCCAUAUACGUAUCAACAAAUGUGGUUCCAGGGAUCGGUCGAUUGCCCCUCACCAGCAGCUAGAGGAGGAGAAAGGAAUGAUGUCCCGGCCUGGGCUGGGCACCUAUCAGCCAACUAUUCCUUUUUGGAAUGGAAAGAAGAAAGGAUGGUCGUAGAUCACUGAUGUCGAAUUCACGAAAAAGAUCAUAUGUGAAAGAAUCGUCAGAUUAUGGGUUCCCGGAGUAGACGGAAUGGAGAAUGAAUGAAAUAGAAUAGUCUGGCAGAAUCGUAUGAUAGGGAAAGUGCGGAGCCUCCCACUUGUCUGGGUUACCGGGCUGGCUAACCUAACUAUGAAUUUCUAUCAAUGUCGGGAUAGACAGAGGUCUAGGAUAGUACGCUGUCGGAGUGAGACCGGGGUACAGUAACGAAGUUAGACCGAAAUGAACGACUCAAUUCCUCUAGAAGAAAGGAGAGAGAAAGAACAACCAAUUCUAUGAAACAAUAUCGUCAUUUACUAGAAUCGGUUGCUACUAGUCCGGGUUACCUCAGAGAUAGAGCCAUUAGGCGAGAAAAAACAACCUAGUUAGUGCACUAACUCAAACCUAGUUCUUGCACGAAAUGUCCUGCUAACAUAGGAGCACUCCUACUAAGAAAUGGAAGAGCAAAUUUCUUUCUGUUCGACGACACAAUGCCUCACCUGCCCUCUGCUACACAUCUCUUUCGUUCGCCCUAGACCCACCCACCAAAUGGAACUCUGCCCUUUUUGUUGGGUUAGAGCGAGUAUGAAGUCAGGGAGGAAGAAGAGGGAAGAAAUAAUAUAGUAAUAUUAACCUUUCCUUCGCUCUAUUCCCAAGUCCUGGGCUAAGCUGAGCUUCGAAGUCGGGCUUUCUUCCUAAUCUCAUCUACUGAAAAGGGGGCCGGGCGUAGCACGUUCUUUUUUGGGACACAUAGGCUAUUACAGACGCAUCAAAAAAGACUUUUCGAAGCGCGGAAUCCCAGAAUGGAAUCAUUGCAGAAGAAAGGUAUAAGGCUUGGGAACCGGAACAGGAUUAAGCCUUUAAGCAUGCAGAUGAGUGUUUGCUGUCAGCCCCAAUCCUUCGGUUUCCGGAUUGGAAUAAGGAGUUCCAUGUUCAUACUGACGCAUCACUCUAUGCCAUUGGAUGUAUGUUGGCGCAAGAAGGGCCGCUUGAUCACUCCAUCUACUUUGAAAGUAUACGACUUUCCGCUUGGGAAUUAUAAAACCACCGAACCUUCUUUAUCAUGAUUCGACCCAUACCUCAGACCUAAGAUCGAGCACCAGAGCUGCUCAUAACAACGUACCAAAAAGAAGAAUGCGAGAAGUUCAUAUUCUCCAGAUUCUACUAUAAACCAGGUAGUGAGGAUGAAAAAAAGCAUAAGCUACCUCGUUCGUGCUCCCGUCUUUCCCGCUGCCAUCUUCGGUGGAGUAACCAAGUUUUUCUUUCUCACUCCUUAUGUACUUUUUUUUACUUCAUCCAUACUUUUUGACUUUUUCUGAAGUGUGGGGCAAACGGCGCCCUCUACUUCUACUUCUAACUAAAGGCGAACAGCCGGCAUUGCAAGCAAAUAGAAAGCCCCCGCCCGUUUGAGCCGGAAAGCGUACCGGCUGUUUGAGUCGCAUCGCAAAAGGGCUGCUUUCUUAAUAUUAUUCUUAAUAUUAUUUAUAUAAUAAUAAUAAAUAAUCUAUAAACAAAAAGAAAAAGGGGAAAUCUUUUUUCUUCAAAAAUUCUUCAUUCCUGGGAAGAAGAAGAAGCAGAUAGGACAAAGGCCUUCUCUUUCCAUUCGCUCUACUCGAAGUGAGCGAAUUGCAUGUAGAGAUCCGUAGGGGCUUAUACUUUAAUUGGUUGAAACGUACCACUCAUAACGGUGAUAUUGUAGGUUCGAGCCCUACUAAGCCUAUCACCCCCUUCUUUUCACCUGAUACAAGGCAGUUAAAUACCCACCACCCUGCAGAUCUGAAUGAUGCGAUGGGAACCACACUGCUGCCAAUGCCCUUUGGGCAUGCCUCCUAUGAAUAUCACUCACCUACGCUCUUGGCGUAUGCCACCUUUGGGCAAUAUGGUGUAAUACGCAAAGCAGUUGAGCCAUAGCUCUUCGAUUGCUAUAUUCUUGCAAUAGAGAAGGUGUGGUUUAUCCUUUAAGAGAGAGUAAAUGUGAAGGUUCGGAUUGAAUAUCUUUACAAUACAUCCUUGGGGCACCAUAGUAUGUCGGGAAUAAGGGGGUCAUAGUGAACGUAACCACUCCCUUGGUUGGGGGCUAUGAAUCCCCUAUCCUUUUAAUUUUUUGAUUCCCAGGUCUUUUUUAUUAUAACUGUUGGAAUAUUUUUGUUGACGACUUAGUCAGGGUGGUUCACUAUUUCUUUGUUGAAGGCGUUGUUAAGCCCUAACGUUUGAAUUCCAAUUUCAUUGCCCUGACAAAACUUUAUGAUCCCCACUUCCAGAAAAAAACUGAAAAGAUGGGGCGGUCGGGGACUUGAAUGAAUGUUAUUAGUCGUGAAUUUGAACUUUUUGGUAUUCUUUUGAUAUAUUUGCAAGAACAUUCUAUGGUUUUAAUAAGAGGAGGUAGAGUGAAAGAUUUUUUGGCUAAAUAAUAAUUUGGUUAUGCCCAGCCCACUAAUGGGGGGCGGUGGCUAAUCCGUACACGCAGUGGGAGGUGACAGCCAGAAAUGAGAUUUGGGGAACAAAGUCAAUUGAUGCGCUCUUAAAGGGAGAAGACAGGAGCUUUGCGCUUAGAGAAGUCCCUUGGCCGGACAGAGCGCAUCUUCUUUUGCUCAUUUUUCAGGGCCUUGCCAUGUUGGCCUACCAAAUAAACAGGAUUUUUUUGAUUGAUGAGCUUAUGGGUCAUUAACUAAAGACCUUAAAGUCGUGACCCAUGAGAUAGCUGAGGAAAGCGAUAUCGCGCGUAGACAUCAAGCCGUAGCGCGUGAACCAGCAACCCCUCUUUAUGAUGCUUUCCACUUUUUUAAGAGGAUUCAGUUAUUGAGUCGGUGAGCUAAUCUCACCUUUUCUCUAGACAUUGUGAGUUAUUUCGAUCAUGACAAUGAAGCAAGUAAAGUGUAGCACUGAACUAGCAAAAAGAAUUAAUGAGAUUAUGGGGCUUCGGUUCCAUCAAUUUUGACUUUAUUUUACUUAAUAGAAAGAGGUUGCAAAAAAGGAAGAGAAUGGAUCCACUGAAAAAACUUUGUUUGGAAUCUAACUCAGAGAGGCAGUAUUGAGUCCAUACAGACUCUAAAUUCGUCUAGCGCUGCAAACCAUAUUGGAUUACUAGAUAAAGAGCUAGUGAUCACCCAUGAGGAAAUGGGCAUUGUCUAAAUCCCUAUUUUAAGAAGUUAAAAGAACGUUUUCACUAUAUCCUUUACAAGCUUUUACACGAAGCAAUGAAUGGGUUGCUCGACGGCAUUCAUCUAUCUUUUCAGUAAAGAGAGUCUUUCAAGUAAGCCCGCCUAACAUGAAAGUCAAGCCUUUCACUUUAUUGUUCAAGUCCUGCCUUUAGAGAAAAGGGUAAAGGUCGGUUUGUUGUUUUGAAAGAUUCUCGCACAUGAUUCAGUUUGCCUUUGUCAAAUAAAUAAAGUGGAUGGAGAGCCUUCUUAUCCUUUUAGGUUUGACCUCUCUCUCCCACUUUCCACCCCCUAAGCUUUACUAAAAAAAGGGUUAUCAAUACCGUCAGAACCUUGCAUUUGUGGGUAAGUGCCCCUCCGCGGUAAGGAAUUGACUUUUUUUCUUUCUCUGCAGUGUUAUAGUAUGCUUGGACUCUAUCUCUGUUGUCUGGCUUUCAUGAAGAAAGAUUGAAAGUGUCUUCUUUGAGCGACUGCGUACCUCAUGUCAAAGAUGUUUGUGUACUUUAGAAUUCAAAAUAGGACUAUUAGCACUGGUCUCUAGCCACCUAGAACUACCAGAGACUCGAUCCAUCUCAGGAACAUUCAAAAUACUAAAGCCACCUGAAACUCACUGAUUGUCUCAUGCCACCUCGGAAGAUAAGACAUAUUCUCAGAUAGAAAAGAAAGGACUUACCACUUGGCCACACUCAGAAGCCAGAG